rnacentral:rRNA from 1 species
UACAGAGGUCUCAAGCGUUGUUCGGAUUCAUUGGGCGUAAAGGGUGCGUAGGCGGCGCCGUAAGUCGGGUGUGAAAUUUCGGAGCUUAACUCCGGAACUGCAUUCGAUACUGCGGUGCUUGAGGACUGGAGAGGAGACUGGAAUUCAUGGUGUAGCAGUGAAAUGCGUAGAGAUCAUGAGGAAGACCAGUGGCGAAGGCGGGUCUCUGGACAGUUCCUGACACUGAGGCACGAAAGCCAGGGGAGCAAACGGG